rnacentral:rRNA from 1 species
AUGCCUGCUGCUCCACCAUGCCAUGGACCGGUCCUUAAGGAGAGAAGGAACAUGAGGGAGAGAGAAGGAAGGAGAGGAGGGAGAAGGAGAGAGGAAAGAGGAGAGUUUGCCACAAAAAUCUUGCUAAGAUCUGAGGAUGAAGAGAAGAAGAAGAAUUUAGCUGAAGGGGUGAAGAAAAUCAAGGCUGAGGUGAGCAUCAUGAAGAUGAGUAGGCGAGUGGCUGAUAUAGAGAGCUCCUCGAACGGGGAAGUAGCAUUGUUGGAGGAACUCGAAGAUGAGAAGGUCAAUUUUGGCAUGUCCAGUUCAUGCAACCUUUGCAUCUUUACAUAUCUUUGCCUUACUGCCAAUUUAUUUUUGCUGCUUUGGGAUUAG